rnacentral:misc_RNA from 1 species
UUGGUAGCAUGUUUUUCCAGACUUGCAGAUAUUGCAAUGUUGCAUGUGCCUCUAAGAUCAUUAGUUCAAUAAAAUAUCAUCAAAACCAGUUUCCAUGAACAUGAGUACUCACAAUAUAAUUUCAAAGGCAAACAAUGAAGUCAAAAUUUAUAGAUAAAAUAAUGUAUGCUGUCAAGAGGUAUGGGAAGAAUAAAAAGAAUGGCUGAGUGAGGCUAUUAUUGAUUGAUAUUUAAGUCUCAAAACAAGUACAAAUGAAACAAGUUGAAGAUGAUACAUCAUAAACAGAACUUAAGUAGCAAAGGACACAAAUA